AUCGACUAGCAUGCGAGUCGGGAGGGUUCGGCCCUCGGCUGACGGCUCAGUAACACGUAGAUAAUCUGCCCUUAGGUGGAGGAUACCCUCGGGAAACUGAGAAUAAUACUCCAUAGAUCUAGUCUGCUGGAAUGCUUUUAGAUCGAAAGAUUUAUCGCCUAAGGAUAAGUCUGCGGACUAUCAGGUUGUAGUCAGGGUAAAGACCUGACUAGCCUACGACGGAUACGGGUAGUGAGAGCUUUAGCCCGGAGAUGAUAUCUGAGACACGAUAUCAGGCCCUACGGGGCGCAGCAGGCGCGAAAACUUCGCACUGUGCGAAAGCACGACGAGGGAAUCCCACCA
rnacentral:rRNA from 1 species